rnacentral:rRNA from 1 species
AACGCGAAGAACCUUACCAGGACUUGACAUCCUUCUGACAGGACCUUAACCGGUCCCUCCUUCGGGCAGAAGAGACAGGUGGUGCAUGGUUGUCGUCAGCUCGUGUCGUGAGAUGUUGGGUUAAGUCCCGCAACGAGCGCAACCCUUGUCAUUAGUUGCCAUCAUUUGGUUGGGCACUCUAAUGAGACUGCCGGGGAUAACUCGGAGGAAGGUGGGGAUGACAUCAAAUCAUCAUGCCCCUUAUGUUCUGGGCUACACACGUGCUACAAUGGCUGGUACAAAGAGACGCAAGACCGCGAGGUGGAGCAAAUCUUCAAAACCAGUCCCAGUUCGGAUUGUAGGCUGAAACUCGCCUGCAUGAAGUCGGAGUUGCUAGUAAUCGUGAAUCAGAAUGUCACGGUGAAUGCGUUCCCGGGUCUUGUACACACCG